ACUUAAUUUCUCUCUUCUUUUAUCUCAACUUUUAAUCAUUCUCUUUUUUUUUAUUUUCUUUCCAAACAAUAACAUCAUUAUAAUACCACCACGUAGCCAUCGACAACUGUGUACUUCCAUACACCUUCCGCCAUUCUACUCUCUAUUUCAACAUCUCCAUUCACUUUCUCUUUCAUCAACUUCCAUACUGUCUUUUUCAACGGCUUCACUACUGUCUCUAUCAACAGCUUCCUCUGACGGGCUAACAUCGAUCUCCAGCUCGCUUGGCACCUGCCCAUUUGGCAAUCUUCUCAAUCUUUCAUGCGCAUACUUAUAACGUCUAUUACCCUUCAUACUCUUUAAGGUAUAUCUGUCAUUAUUCAAUACUUCUGUAAUCUCAAAUGGACCUCGAUAUUUAGCAUCUAAUUUAGUCUGGUUUCUCUCACUAUUAUUAAGCAACACAAAAUCUCCAACACUAAAUUUUACUACCUUAGCUCUGCCUUUAUCAAAUCUUUCUUUCUCAUACUUUGCCGAUCUUUCUAUAUUUUCUAAAGCUUGAGUUCUUAUCUUGGUCAGAUCUAUUUCUGUUUCUGGAUCAUGAAUUGGAACCAGACCUAAGGGACGAGCAACCUUUCCCAUUAAUAAUUCUAACGGGCUGGCUUUGGUUAUCUUAUUAGCAGUACAAUUAAUAGCUAACUGCACGUCACCCAAUGCCUCUUGCCAAGAUCUAGAACUUGUUUCAACAGCUGUCAAUACAUUUUUUAAGGUACUCAUAACCCUCUCAACCUGGCCAUUACCUCGGCUUGCUCCUGUUGCUAUCAAAUGUAGUUUUAUGUUUUGGGAAGAGCAAAAUUCAACAAACUUGGCGCCUGUGAAACUUCUUCCCUGAUCAGCCACAAUACGAAUAGGAACUCCAAACAAAGAAAUUGAUGAUUUCAACGCCAUUAUACAACUUUCUGCACUUAAUGUGAAAGUGUGGUAAAGAUAAACGUACUUGCUUGCCUGCUUUGUCUAUGUGGAUAGUAUGCCAUGGAACGUUUAUUUUGGGAAUAGGAUGUAAUUCCAUUUGUACUUUCCCAGAGGAUGAUUUGGAAACUCUGCACGUUAUGCAAUUUUCAACAAAUCUUCGAACGUAUUUGGCCAUGCCCUCAAACCAAAAGUAAUCGUAUACCUUGUCGAGUGUUUUCUCCCAGCCCAGAUGCAUUAUGGAUUCAUGUACUUGGUUAAUAACCGACCAUCUAAAUCCGCGAGGCACUACUGGCAAACACUGCGUCUUGCCAUUUCUUUGUAUCACUCUAUACAAAACUCCACCUCUCAAAUCAUAUGUCUUAGACAACUCGAAUGGUAAUGCAUCACCGUUCAACUUGAUACUUCAGUUAAUUCGAUUCGCUUUUCAACGAUUUUUGCAUAUUCAGGGGAAUUUUCCGGAGGAAGUGGAUUUCUGGGCCAUACGCUGGGGCCCUAUACUGUAUAUCAAAAUCGAAGAUCUGCAAAAAAGCCCACCAGCGAUAGACUCUAGGCAAAAACUCAAUCUUAUUUCGUGAUGAUUUUAACGACUUACAGUCAGUGAAUAUUACAAACUUUCUGCCA